rnacentral:misc_RNA from 1 species
GAUGAAGAACGUAGCGAAAUGCGAUACGUAAUGUGAAUUGCAGAAUUCAGUGAAUCAUCGAAUCUUUGAACGCAUAUUGCGCUUUCUGGUACUCCGGAGAGCAUGCUUGUUUGAGUAUCAGUAAACACCUCAACUUCCAUAUCUUUUUUGAAAUGGGAGUUGGACUUGAGUGAUCCCAACGCUUUUCCUCACCGAAAAGUGGCGGGUUACUUGAAAUGCAGGUGCAGCUGGACUUUUCUCUGAGCUAUAAGCAUAUCUAUUUAGUCUGCCUAAAAACAGAUUAUUACCUUUGCUGCAGCUAACAUAAAGGAGAUUAGUUCUUGUGCAGACUGAUGCAGGAUUCACAAAGACAGGCUUCGGCCGACUUUGUAAACUCGAUCUCAAAUCAAGUAAGACUACCCGCUGAACUUAAGCAUAUCAAUAAGCGGAGGA